rnacentral:lncRNA from 1 species
UAUAUCUUAAUUGAGUGAACCUAAAGGGGCAAACAUGAUCUAUGGAUAUAUGUAAAAGACUUUUAAUAAUAAAAGUAAUUUUAUAAAUCUUUUCUUGAAUGUCUAGUGCUAAAAAAAGCUUGAUUAUAAAUUGAUAAUUGUUUUUUAUGUGUGCUACAUGAAAAAGGGGAAACAUGAAUAAAAUUUUCAAAUUUGUUAAUGUUGUGGUCGCCUCUAUUUUCCUUUUUUUUGUUGCAAGUGUUGUGAGCUAUGGUAAGUCCUUUCUUUUAUCCUUUUGAAUUUUCCUUUUUUUUUUUGUAUAAAUUCAAUUUUCCUUAUUUACUUUAAUUAACGCCUAUAUCUCUUGUAUCACGUACAUUGUAGGAUCGCCUUAUCCUUGUCUUGCAGACAAUGAUUGUUCUCCUUCAUUGUGCUCCUCUCCUACUAUGAAAAUUAUUUGUAGUGAUACUAAUUGUAUUUGCAUUUAAAAUUUAUACUUAAGUUGAAAAUUAAUUAUAUGUUACUGUAUAAUUUUAUUCAUGCAUCAAAAUGUUGU